rnacentral:tRNA from 1 species
GGGGAUGUAGCUCAGAGGCAGAGCACUUGCCUAGCAUGCAAGAGACCCUGGAAGCAAUUCCU